UUGACUGAGCGGCGGACGGGUGAGUAACGCGUGGGUAACCUGCCUCGUACAGGGGGAUAACAGUUGGAAACGGCUGCUAAUACCGCAUAAGCGCACAGUACCGCAUGGUACGGUGUGAAAAACUCCGGUGGUAUGAGAUGGACCCGCGUCUGAUUAGGUAGUUGGUGGGGUAACGGCCUACCAAGCCGACGAUCAGUAGCCGACCUGGGAGGGUGACCGGCCACAUUGGGACUGAGACACGGCCCAA
rnacentral:rRNA from 1 species